rnacentral:rRNA from 1 species
UACGUAGGGUGCGAGCGUUGUCCGGAAUUAUUGGGCGUAAAGAGCUCGUAGGCGGUCUUUCGCGUCUGCUGUUAAAUCCCGAGGCUCAACCUCGGGCUUGCAGUGGGUACGGGCAGGCUAGAGUGCGGUAGGGGAGAAUGGAACUCCUGGUGUAGCGGUGGAAUGCGCAGAUAUCAGGAAGAACACCGAUGGCGAAGGCAGUUCUCUGGGCCGUAACUGACGCUGAGGAGCGAAAGCGUGGGGAGCGAACAGG